UCGAAAGGGACAUUGCAGUGAGCUCCAGACCUUCGACUACAGAGCCAAGACUGCAGAAACACAAACACAGGCCUUCAUAAUUCUAUUGGCUGAACUACAACAUAAGCUUAACGCUCAGGCUCCAAAGUACCAGGGAUAGAACUGAGGACCUUGUG